CCUACGGGGGGCUGCAGUGGGGAAUAUUGGGCAAUGGGCGAAAGCCUGACCCAGCCACGCCGCGUGAGUGAUGAAGGCCUUCGGGUCGUAAAGCUCUGUGGGGAGGGAAGAACAGGCUUGGGGCUAAUCACCCGAGCUUUGACGGUACCUCCUUAGCAAGCACCGGCUAACCCUGUGCCAGCAGCCGCGGUAAUACAGGGGGUGCAAACGUUGCUCGGAAUUAUUGGGCGUAAAGCGCGCGUAGGCGGCCUUUUAAGUCGGAUGUGAAAGCCCUC
rnacentral:rRNA from 1 species